UACGUAGGCAGCGAGCGUUGUUCGGAAUUACUGGGCGUAAAGAGCGUGUAGGCGGUGCUCCCAGUCUGUUGUGAAAUCUCCCGGCUUAACUGGGAGGGUGCAGCGGAAACUAGAGUGCUAGAGGGUGGGAGAGGUAAGCGGAAUUCCUGGUGUAGCGGUGAAAUGCGUAGAUAUCAGGAGGAACACCUGUGGUGUAGACAGCUUACUGGACCACUUCUGACGCUGAGACACGAAAGCGUGGGUAGCAAACAGG
rnacentral:rRNA from 1 species